CUCAAGCAACAGAGCUGUCCUGCAGAUGGCGGUGGUGGCUUUGGCUCUUACCCAAACAGGUGCUGGCAGAAACAGUGAUUAAGGCUCUGAUGCUUCUUUCACCAUUUAGAAAGGUAAGUUGCCGGGCCUAACCUGUAGCAUGUGGUGGAACAGAGGAUAGACCCCAGGGUUAUGGGGACUCUAAGCACUGGGGCAUUUGGAGAUGAGUACUUUAGUGUCUCACCACUCCCAGGGAAUAGUCUGAAUUUCUUCUAUUCUCUUUCCCAAAGAAAGCACUGCCUUGUGUGGGACUGAAUCAGGUUUUAUUACCAGCACCCAGGCAGCAGUUCACAACCAUCUGUAACUUCAGUUUCAGGGAUGGGACAGAAGCCCUCUUCUAGUCUAUAUAAGUAGUAGGCCUGCACAGGGUAUACAGACACAGAGGUAGGUAGAAGGAGGAGGAGGAAGAGGAAGAAAGGCAGAAAAAGAAAGAAAGAAGGAAGAAUAAAUAAAUAAAUAAAACCAACCCUCAUAUACAAAAA
rnacentral:lncRNA from 1 species